AUAGGCCAAUAGAGAUUAUUUGGGAGGUUGGUGGAAAGUAACAUAUGAAAUCAGAUUAUAUAAUAGGCCAAUAGAGAUUAUUUGGGAGGUUGGUGGAAAGUAACAUAUGAAAUCAGAUUAUAUAAUAGGCCAAUAGAGAUUAUUUGGGAGGUUGGUGGAAAGUAACAUAUGAAAUCAGAUUAUAUAAUAGGCCAAUAGAGAUUAUUUGGGAGGUUGGUGGAAAGUAACAUAUGAAAUCAGAUUAUAUAAUAGGCCAAUAGAGAUUAUUUGGGAGGUUGGUGGAAAGUAACAUAUGAAAUCAGAUUAUAUAAUAGGCCAAUAGAGAUUAUUUGGGAGGUUGGUGGAAAGUAACAUAUGAAAUCAGAUUAUAUAAUAGGCCAAUAGAGAUUAUUUGGGAGGUUGGUGGAAAGUAACAUAUGAAAUC